UACGAAGGGGGCGAGCGUUAUUCGGAAUCACUGGGCGUAAAGCGUGCGUAGGCUGCUCGGAAAGUUGGGAGUGAAAGCCCAGGGCUCAACCCUGGAAUUGCUUUCAAAACUACCGAGCUCGGAUUCGGGAGAGGAUAGCGGAAUUGUCAGUGUAGCAGUGAAAUGCGUAGAUAUUGACAGGAACACCAGUGGCGCAAGCGGCUAUCUGGACCGACAUCGACGCUGAGGCACGAAAGCGUGGGGAUCAAACAGG
rnacentral:rRNA from 1 species